rnacentral:rRNA from 1 species
GACGAACGCUGGCGGCGUGCCUAAUACAUGCAAGUAGAACGCAGUUGCGAACGGGUGAGUAACGCGUAGGUAACUGCCUGGUAGCGGGGGAUAACUAUUAGAAACGAUUGCUACUACCGCAUACUACCAGAUGGACCUGCGUUGUAUUAGCUAGUUGUUGGGGGAACGGCUCACCCAGGCAACGAUACAUAGCCGACCUGAGAGGUUGGUCGGCAACACGUGGACGGAGACACGGCACAGAUUCCUACGGGAGGCAGCAGUAGGGAAUCUUCGGGAAUGGACGGAAGUCUGACCGAGCAACGCCGCGUGAGUGAAGAAGGUUUUCGGAUCGUAAAGCUCUGGUGUAAGAGAAGCGGUAUCUUACCAGAAAGGGACGGCUAACUACGUGCCAGCAGCCGCGGUAAUAC